rnacentral:sRNA from 1 species
UGGUGACUGGAAGCUGCAUCCAGAUGGUGGCAGAGGAAGCCAUGUGCCACUAUGAAGACAUCCGUUCCCAUGGCAAUACACUGCUCAGCGCCGCAGCCGCAGCCCUGUGUGCUGGGGAGCCAGGUCCUGAGGGCCUCCUCAUCGUCAACACGCUGCCCUGGAAGCGGACCGAAGUGAUGGCCCUGCCCAAACCAGGCGGGGCCCACAGCCUAGCCCUGGUGACAGUGCCCAGCAUGGGCUAUGCUCCUGUUCCUCCCCCGACCUCGCUGCAGCCCCUGCUGCCCCAGCAGCCUGUGUUCGUAGUGCAAGAGACUGACGGCUCCGUGACUCUGGACAAUGGCAUCAUCCGAGUGAAGCUGGACCCAACUGGCCGCCUGACGUCCUUGGUCCUGGUGGCCUCUGGCAGGGAGGCCAUUGCCGAGGGUGCCGUGGGGAACCAGUUUGUGCUAUUUGAUGAUGUCCCCUUGUACUGGGAUGCAUGGGACGUCAUGGACUACCACCUGGAGACACGGUAUGGGCUGGGCAGCAUGUGGGGAUGGUGGAGGUAGUGGGAACACAGGCUGCUCUGGAUCAGUAUGUCCACCCCUGUCCCAUAGGAAGCCUGUGCUGGGCCAGGCAGGGACCCUGGCAGUGGGCACCGAGGGCGGCCUGCGGGGCAGCGCCUGGUUCUUGCUACAGAUCAGCCCCAACAGUCGGCUUAGCCAGGAGGUUGUGCUGGACGUUGGCUGCCCCUAUGUCCGCUUCCACACCGAGGU